GAGCAGUUGCCUCAUUUCCCUUCAGGCCCCAUGGGCUGCUGGUCAACCUCAGGAUCUACUAAAGAUGACGCAAAUGCCGACUGAACAAUCUGAAACCCAAAGGACUCAAGGAGAGACAUGUUCUGCUGAGGAGAAAAAGAACUGUAAGAGAAAGCAACAUGCACCUUUAAAUGAGUUACAGAUCAAAUGGUAACCCCCUGAAGACUACCUUGUGCUAGAAUGGAACUGCCCCUGCCAUCUCUCUUUAACAGAAGCACAUCCUGAGAACCUGAGAGUUCAAGGUAAGGGUCUGAACACUGUCACCACAAACAGACAGCUAUCUCCUCAAGGUACAACCAAAGUGAGAAACAAACGCUUUCUCGCUUUGCUGUCAAAGGUGGAAGACACCACUGUUUACCACCCCAGUCCCAGAUAUCUGUAUACGUUAGCACAGCCUUACCUAGCUCUUCUGUCAAUGUCUUUUUAAGUAAACAUUACACAUUUGA